ensembl:lncRNA
GCCCCCACCUGCCCGCCCGCGUCGAAGGCUUCAGAAGGUCCCUCACUGAGGGCCGAACAGUCCGCCUUGGAGCAAACGCCAAAACUUCCCUGGGGAACAGCUCUCCCUAUGCAGAAGCGACCUCCUUCUUCUCGUAUCUUUUUGUGGAGAAUGGGUCUCGCUCGCAGCAGCAUUCAUUCAUUCAUAGGUGUUUCCUGGCGCUGAUGUUGCGACAGGCCCUGUAAUGAAGACCGCUUCAUUACUGCCAAGGAGUUCCCAGAACUGGCAGGCCAGCAGACAAGCGCUAAGAAAUAAUUGAUAAAAGUGAAGAAGUGUGUACAGGUCCACAAGAAGCAGAAAAGAGGGAAGGGUAAUGGGCAAUCUUCAUAAAGCUGGGACCCCAGGCAGAAGGAACAGCAUGGACAAAGGUGGAAACACUGGAGGUCAAAUUAGGGAGUGUGUGUCUGAGCUGAAAAGGGGGCCUCUGCCACCAUGGAAGUGCUCCACCCCCAAGGCUAUUGUGAACAAAGGGUAAUCCAAGCACUUCUGGGGAGCUCACCUUUCCCUAGCUGUGGAUGAACAAAUCAGAACAUUGUGAGAAGUCAGAUGUCUUCUUCCUUUUGAGGACUGCACACAAGGGAUCCCCCUUCACCCACCUGGGUUUGGCCCACAAGGCUGGGUCCCUUCCUCCAUGUUCCCUUCACGUGUUCCAAGAUUUGGAUCAUACAGUAAAGGAGAGAUGAAAGAGCAGUGAAAGAUGUACCCAUCCAUGACAGAGGAAACUGACCUGGGCUUGGUCCCAGGACUUGCUGACACAUGCUGUAACGUGGAUGAACCUUGAAAAUGUCAUGUUAGGUGAAGAAGCCAGUCAUAAAAGACCUCUUAGAGGUCAGAGUUCCUGUCGUGGCUCAGUGGUUAACGAAUCCAACUAGGAACCACGAGGUUGCGAGUUUGAUCCCCGGCCUUGCUCAGUGGGUUAAGGAUCCAGUGUUGCCGUGAGCUGUGGUGUAGGUCACAGACGCGGCUCGGAUCCUGAGUUGCUGUGGCUGUGGUGUAGGCCAGUGGCUACAGCUCCAAAUACACCUCUAGCCUGGGAACUUCCAUAUGCCGUGGGUGCAGCCCUAGAAAAAGGCAAAAAGACAAAAAACAAAAAACAAAAAAAAAAA